AUUGAACGCUGGCGGCAUGCCUUACACAUGCAAGUCGAACGGCAGCACGGGGCAACCUGGUGGCGAGUGGCGAACGGGUGAGUAAUGCAUCGGAACGUACCUUUCAGUGGGGGAUAACGUAGCGAAAGUUACGCUAAUACCGCAUAUUCUGUGAGCAGGAAAGCAGGGGAUCGCUAGACCAUGCGCUGAUUGAGCGGCCGAUGUGAGAUUAGCUAGUUGGUGAGGUAAAGGCUCACCAAGGCGACGAUCUGUAGCGGGUCUGAGAGGAUGAUCCGCCACACUGGAACUGAGACACGGUCCAGACUCCUACGGGAGGCAGCAGUGGGGAAUUUUGGACAAUGGGGGCAACCCUGAUCCAGCCAUGCCGCGUGAGUGAAGAAGGCCUUCGGGUUGUAAAGCUCUUUCGGCCGGGAAGAAAUCGCACGGGCUAAUACCCUGUGUGGAUGACGGUACCGGAAUAAGAAGCACCGGCUAACUACGUGCCAGCCGCCGCCGUAACAC
rnacentral:rRNA from 1 species